rnacentral:lncRNA from 1 species
AAAGUUGUCCUAUUGCGAAAAAAGUCAUCACCAAUAAAACUAGAAACAUUAUCCCACCAGUGAUCUUCCCGAGAGGUUAAACUAAAAUUUGCAAGCUUAUCGGCAGAACAAUUUCCUUCCCUAAAAAUAUGAGAAAUUCUAAAGUUCAUAAGGGAGCAGAAAUAGAUACAAUUAUACCAACGAUUUCUAAGCUUCCAAGGAAUUAUAUGGUGAUUAUUGAAGGCAUCCACCACUAGUUUAGAGUCGCAUUCCAGGCAAAAAUUAUGCCAAUGAUUUUGAUGAGCAAUUUCAAUAGCAUGCAUAGCUGCAAU